UCAACUUCGAAGAUGGCUUGGAAGCAACAUUUAGAUGCCUGAUUAGAUCUAGAAGCUUGCUACUCAAUGUUUUCUCCUGCUAAUCUGGCAGUUGUUAUUCCAUAUACUGUCAAUUGUAUAUACACAGUUUUGUAGUUAUGUUGGAAAUAUACAAUCUUCAAGCGAUUGAUUAUACAUCAAUGUCUUUUUCUCUAUAUAUAUUAUUAGUAUUAUAUAUGGAACGUAUAUGAAUACUGCCAUAAACUGUGCAGUAGGACUUUAAUUCAAAUACCUGAAUGGAGUCCAAAUUUAACAGGUAAUGCCUAUGACUUUCAGCAUCUAGAAAGAAUUUGCAGCAUUGUCUAAAUCUGAUGUCAGGUUAAGUUUUACCCGGAAAAUAGCUCAAAAUAUCAUUGAAAUGAAUCUCCUUAAACUAGAGGAGAACCAGAUAAAACUAAUAGCAGAUCCUUUUACAUACUUCCCUUGUAUAAUUAGUGAAAUGAUCAAACGAACAAGUGAAUGAGAAAAUUCUAUGACUCCUUAAUCAAUAUUUAAGGGUAAGAAGCCACUUACCUACAUCCGGAAAAAGGUAUUUCUUCCUUAUUCUUCUUAUCCAUCAUUCUUACACAACGAUAAUUUAUUAGAUAAUAUUGAGAAUGAUAUCUGUUUCUAUUUGGUUCAUAGUCAACUUAGCUGUUGAGACCACCACAGCUUUUCUGCAUUUGUUCUUAAAAUUAUUGGAAGUAUUAGACCUAAAUCCUAAUCAAGAAGGUUUCUAUAUCCUUUAUCUUCUUCCUGCCUUCCCAAGGGAAUUCAACAAACAAAAAAUGGGGAGUGAAAUGCAGGUUGUUGGAGCCACCAUCACAAGGAUUUAGCAUUAGAUAGGCAGCAAAAGUGGCAGAGUGCUCUCUCGAACAUAUUAGCACUACAGUCAUUAAUACCACUUUAAAAGUGCAACCCAG
rnacentral:lncRNA from 1 species